CCUAUCACAGUUAGCGGUGAAUCAACAACCCACGACAAGUCACUGUGUUCAAAAUUCCUACCUCGCCAGGUUUGAACAGCGUCACCUGGGUAGAAGACCGUCCCACGAACAGGCGCCAUAGCGCGAGGCUGCAGGCUGAGGGAAGCUACCAUCGGACGACUUUGCUCCUCGAAUUUCACGCAAAUUCGAGUAGGAUUACAACUCCCUGAGGCAUGGGGGACGAAAAAAAGCGGAGAGGCGGGGUGAAGAACUGGUCCACCAAGCGGCUGGUUCUGCUGGCGAUCGUGGUGGUGCUGUUGUGUGUGGGGUUAGCCAUCAUCACAUGGUGGUUCGCCAAGCCCCACUACUGGGUCUGGCUGGGAGAGCGAGACUUCAGAGGAACGUUCGAAUACGAUGCUCAAUCGAAGCUGCUAAUAGUUAGAAACGAGACCGGGCACGAAGUGCAGCGCGCCACGCUGGGAUACCGGAUCCCCAAGGUGGAGUGGACGUGGGACGACCCCUGGAUCUGUAACGAGGGAGACUACUGCUUCGACUGGGAGAGGAGGGGCGUGCUGUCACUCGUCUACGAGGAACUGAUCGAAGAACGGAACUUGCACUGUAUGAACGUCACAUGGCAGGUGAACUGGGAGGGAAGAACAGAGCAGGAGACGUUUUACCCGUACGACUGUUUCGACACGACCCGAGCCCACUGGUACGGCGGCGCGCAGGUCUUCAGUCAGCGCUGGCCGGUCAACAACGGCUCCGGGGAGAUGCAGCCCUUCAUCACUAAUGACUACCUGAGCUGGGGCGAGGCCAACAAGGACCGUUACGGCAGCGUGAUGGAGAGGUUGUUCGUGACGUCAGAGGGUGUGGGUAUCGUGAUUGAGGAUGACGUCCCCUUGCACCUGUCACUCAACGCCAGCGGAGAUGGCAGGAUGUGUAUCCUCUCCAACUACACCUUCCACUACCCCAACCCGCGAGGCAGGCUCCCGCAUAUGAAGUACUCCAUCUGUGUUGGUGAGAACGCCCGCCAGGUGCACGAGUACAUGUACCACCGGUACUACCGCCAGCCCAGCGGCCUGCCCGCAGACCUGGUGCUGAAGCGGCCCAUCUGGUCCACCUGGGCCCGCUACAAGAAGGACAUCAACCAGUCCGUGGUGCUGGAGAUGGCCAGCGAGAUCGUCUACUGGAACAUGUCAGCUAGUCAGGUGUCAAUUGACGACUUCUGGGAAACGCGGUACGGAGAACUGCACUUCAACGAGACCAAAUUCCCGGAACCGAAGUCUAUGUUCGACUACUUCCACCAGAAGGGCUGGGACGGCACGGUCUGGGUCCAUCCAUUCACUAACAUCGACAGCUUCACUUUCGAGGACAAUGCGGCUUUCGGCGAGCCAGACUACUGGGUGUCGCAGGCGCCACAAAAAGCGACGGGGCAACCGGACGUACCGGGCUUAACGAAAUGGUGGUGCGGCACGCAGUACGCAGCCCUGCUGGACGUCACCAACCCUCUGGCCCGGCGGUGGUUCGUGUCUCGACUAGAGGAACUUCGUACCAACUUCACGAUCGACUCGUUCAAGUUUGACGGAGGAGAAGCCCAGUAUCUCCCGGAUGUAAACUACCGAACCUACACCACCUACACCAACCCCAACUACUACACCAGAGACUACGCUGAGAUGGCCGCCAUCUUUGGUGGACAAACGGAGGUACGUGUGUGAUACAGAUCUCAAGAGUACGCAUGUUCGACAAAAACUCGGUCUUUACGACAACGGUCUGCGGACGAUCAUCCCGACCGCCCUGCUGUUCUCCAUCCUGGGCUACCCCUACAUCCUCCCCGACAUGAUCGGCGGGAACGCCUACAACGACCAGCUGCCCGACCGGGAGCUGUACAUCCGCUGGAUGGGCAUCUCCACCUUCAUGCCCACCAUGCAGUUCUCCAUCGCCCCCUGGCAGUACGGUGCCGGUGAUGACGAGGAAGUCAUCCGGAUCGCCCGCAAGUUCCUGGAGAUUCACGAGCGUGACGUGUACCCACAACUCGUCACCUUCGCCAACGAGGCCGUCAACGGCCGCAGGUACGCCCCGAUCAUCCGGCCGCUGUGGUGGGAGGACCCAGAGAACAUCCUGGCUCAGACCAUCGACGACGAGUUCCUGGUGGGAGACCAGAUUCUGGUGGCGCCCAUCGUGGAGAGGGGCACAACUACCAGGGAGGUGUACUUCCCGAUCCAGGGCGUUAGCUGGCAAGACGCCCGCGACCGAGGCCGUGUGUAUCGCGGCGGAGAGUACCGUACUAUUCGGGUGGAGCUGGACGAGGUGGCGUACUUCUACAGAAAUUAGAACAAGCCCCUUCUUAGAACCAAGGCGGAAGAACAUUAUGUACUGUAAUCACCCAAAAGUACAACAGAUGAUCUUUGUAAAAGCCCUAACAGUGGUAUUUACUAAAUACCAUACCAAUGUUGUAAAACUAGAUUAGCGACAUGAAUCUGUGUUCACUCAAGAAUGUUUUUUAAGUGAAAUGUUCUUCAUUUUUCCUUGGCAAAAACUUUUGUUUCAUUUCUUACCCGCAAAUUUGACCAGAAAUAGUGGCAAAGGACAUUCUGGUCACGGAACAUAAAAAAUGUAAAAAAAAGUACAAAAAGAAAAAAAAGUACAAAAAAAGGAACAUGUUUGCGUCAGCUUUUUUACCGGUGUUGAAGAAGGGGCACAUUGCUUCUUGUUAAAAACAUCGACUUAGAUAAGCGGACAGCUUGCAUUUGUAUGGGUGUUGUUGGUGGUGGGAACAAGAGAUGGUAGAUUGUUAUCAGAACAAUGAAUUUGGUAUUGUUGCCAUAGAACUAGACAGUAACGUUAUAGUGUUUACCCUACUAACCCUUACUAACCCUUACUAACAUUUCAUCAAUGGUUUGUGCUACUAACCUUCUAACUUUCCUGUCAGUUUUGUGUGGCUUUUACUAACUCUACUAACCGCUUGUUUUUUAAACUAACAUUAAGACUAACCAUAGAGCAGUUAUAAUACUGUAAAGUUGAUUUCAGAAUUCACAGCAUUUACAAUCAUUAUAAGCAUAAAGCUGAAUUUUGCUGAAAAUUAACAAUUUUUACAAAACUUCUUCUCUUCUGUCAUUCUGUUAAGGCUACUGGAAGCUAGUAGUAGACUUCUUUUGUUUGAUAAUGAAACAAAUGAUUUAUAUGCAUUCGCCACGUAGAAGUCUUGUUAAUGGAUUUUGUACUUAUAUAGUUUAUUUGGUCAGGGUGCUUAGUAAGCUAGCAUACUCCAAAGACAAAGAGGUUGAGUAGGAAAAAAUUGAUUGAUACCUCCCCCAUCUAACUUUAGUACACUUUGUUUUUUUAGUAUGUGCUGUUGUUGUUACUUUUUAUGGUCAUAAAUGGGUGAUAUUAAAACUCUUUUGGUCACCAAAGACUAUUUAUGUUGGUGAUCUUUGAACUGUUUUAUUCAUGUUCUAUGAUGCGUGAGCGAAGCAAACAAAAUUGCACUCCAACAUAUUUAGUCAGGAUUUGAAUAGUAUUAGAAUAUUUUCUUCUCCGUUUUUUUCUUCUCUUCAUGAGAACACCAGACUGUGACAAUAUGGCUCAGUAGAAGAUGUACCAUGUUCAACCUUUGGUGAAUUUAGUUGAAUUUUUAGUUCAAUAUGGCGGUCGGAAAUUCGCAGUGGUUUGUGGGAACGUUUACAUCAGCAUUUUGUACUUGUUUGCUGUUUGAUCCCAGUCCAGGUAUUUGUGAUCAAUGAAGUCACUGUAAGGCGUGGUGUGACCGUUUCUCAAUAAAUGGGUGUAGAAAUCA